rnacentral:rRNA from 1 species
AUUGAACGCUGGCGGCAGGCCUAACACAUGCAAGUCGAACGAGUGGCGGACGGGUGAGUAAUGUCUGUGAACCUGCCUGAUGUAGGGGGAUAACUACUGGAAACGGUAGCUAAUACUGCAUACCAUCAGAUGUGCCCAGAUGGGAUUAGCUAGUUGGUGGGGUAACGGCUCACCAAGGCGACGAUCCCUAGCUGGUCUGAGAGGAUUAUCAGCCACACUGGAACUGAUACACGGUCCGGACUCCUACGGGAGGCAGCAGUGGGGAAUAUUGCACAAUGGUCGCAAGCCUGAUGCAGCCAUGCCGCGUGUAUGAAGAAGGCCUUCGGGUUGUAAAGUACUUUCAGCGGGGAGGCGUUACCCGCAGAAGAAGCACCGGCUAACUCCGUGCCAGCAGCCGCGGUAAUAC